CCUACGGGUGGCAGCAGUGAGGAAUAUUGGUCAAUGGGCGAGAGCCUGAACCAGCCAAGUCGCGUGAAGGAUGACGGCCCUACGGGUUGUAAACCUCUUUUGUCAGGGAGCAAUUGUGUCCACGCGUGGGCUUAGCGAGAGUACCUGAAGAAAAAGGACCGGCUAAUUCCGUGCCAGCAGCCGCGGUAAUACGGAAGGUCCGGGCGUUAUCCGGAUUUAUUGGGUUUAAAGGGAGCGUAGGCCGGCUUUUAAGUCAGCUGUGAAAGUCCGCGGCUCAACCGUGGAAUUGCAGUUGAAACUGGAGGCCUUGAGUGCACAAAGGGAUGCCGGAAUUCAUGGUGUAGCGGUGAAAUGCUUAGAUAUCAUGAAGAACGCCGAUCGCGAAGGCAAGUGUCCGGGGUGCAACUGACGCUGAGGCUCGAAAGUGCGGGUAUCAAACAGGAUUAGAUACCCCAGUAGUC
rnacentral:rRNA from 1 species